rnacentral:rRNA from 1 species
CCUACGGGUGGCAGCAGUGAGGAAUAUUGGUCAAUGGACGAGAGUCUGAACCAGCCAAGUAGCGUGAAGGAUGACUGCCCUAUGGGUUGUAAACUUCUUUUAUAUGGGAAUAAAACGUUCCACGUGUGGGAUUUUGUAUGUACCAUAUGACUAAGGAUCGGCUAACUCCGUGCCAGCAGCCGCGGUAAUACGGAGUAUCCGAGCGUUAUCCGGAUUUAUUGGGUUUAAAGGGAGCGUAGGUGGAUUGUUAAGUCAGUUGUGAAAGUUUGCGGCUCAACCGUAAAAUUGCAGUUGAAACUGGCAGUCUUGAGUACAGUAGAGGUGGGCGGAAUUCGUGGUGUAGCGGUGAAAUGCUUAGAUAGCACGAAGAACUCCGAUUGCGAAGGCAGUUCACUGGACUGCAACUGACACUGAGGCUCGAAAGUGUGGGUAUCAAACAGGAUUAGAUACCCGAGUAGUC